CAGCCGCCACGGGAAUACGUAGGGUGCGAGCGUUAAUCGGAAUUACUGGGCGUAAAGCGUGCGCAGGCGGUUCGUUAAGACAGAUGUGAAAUCCCCGGGCUUAACCUGGGAACUGCAUUUGUGACUGGCGAGCUAGAGUAUGGCAGAGGGGGGUAGAAUUCCACGUGUAGCAGUGAAAUGCGUAGAGAUGUGGAGGAAUACCGAUGGCGAAGGCAGCCCCCUGGGCCAAUACUGACGCUCAUGCACGAAAGCGUGGGGAGCAAACAGGAUUAGAUACCCCUGUAGUCCCUGUCUCUUAUAC
rnacentral:rRNA from 1 species